CUUCAGGUACUGGGAGAGACCACUCAUUCUUCCCCAAGAUAGAAGUGUGUGGAGCAAAAUGCUGGCGUUAUGAUAACGAGUUCCUGUCUCUGGUGUUUACACUUCCCAGUUUGAAUGUGACUGCUGCACUACAUCAUCCUCACUAACUAUUUCUUGGGUCUGCAGUGUCCACUUGACAUAUCAAAGACAUUCACUUACACUUCUGUGCUCUGCUCAGCUCCUGGGCCAACAGUUUAUUAAUCUGGAGUUGUCGAGACUUCUCCAGUGGAUGUGACUUCAGCAGUGCUGGUGAGUUCAGGCGUGGUGGUGACAUCAGGAGUUGUAUAUAGAUCCAGGCUGUUCUCAGUCCUGGUUAAAGAGGAUUGCUCUUGUAAUGGGCUGCAGUCAAUAGA